CAAGGAUUCCCUCAGUAACGGCGAGUGAACAGGGAACAAGCUCAAAGUUGGAAUCUAUCUGGCUUAGCCAGAUCGAAUUGUAAACUUUAGAGUCGUUGUCCAGACCAGCCGAGUAAAUAAGUUCCUUGGAAUAGGACAUCAUGGAGGGUGAGAAUCCCGUCUUUGGCUUGAGCAUUGGUCUUUUGUGAUGCGACUUCAACGAGUCAGGUUGUUUGGGAAUGCAGCCUUAAUUGGGUGGUAAAUCUCACCUAAAGCUAAAUAUUGGCGAGAGACCGAUAGCGAACAAGUACCGUGAGGGAAAGAUGAAAAGAACUUUGAAAAGAGAGUUAAACAGUAUGUGAAAUUGCUAAAAGGGAACCGUUUGAAGUCAGUCUGGCUGGUCUGCAAUCAGCUUCAACUUUGGUUGGAGUGCACUUGUAGGCCAUUUUGCCUGCCAACAACAGUUUGUUCUGCAGCAAAAAGGUGUUGAGAAUGUAGCUUUCUCUUCGGAGGAAGUGUUAUAGCUCUUCGCGAAAUACUGUGGUUCAGACUGAGGCUUGCAGUGAAUGCUAUUUUGGCUUUGGGGAUGGAUUGCUCAGUGCUUUGCUUGGUUAGUUUCGGCCGUCAAACGUCGUGCUGGCUAAAUAAAGUCUGACUCGGUUCAUUCACUUUUAAUUCACUUUGGUUGUUGGCUUAAUGAC
rnacentral:rRNA from 1 species